AUUGAACGCUGGCGGCAGGCUUAACACAUGCAAGUCGAGCGAGAGGCGGACGGGUGAGUAAUGUAUGGGAAACUGACUGAUGGAGGGGGAUAACUACUGGAAACGGUAGCUAAUACCGCAUACCAUCAGAUGUGCCCAGAUGGGAUUAGCUAGUAGGUGGGGUAAGGGCGCACCUAGGCGACGAUCCCUAGCUGGUCUGAGAGGAGGACCAGCCACACUGGAACUGAUACACGGUCCAGAAUCCUACGGGAGUCAGCAGGGGGGAAUAUUUCACAAUGGGCGCAAGCCUGAGGCAGCCAUGCCGCGGGUGUGAAGAAGGCCUUCGGGUUGUAAAGCACUGUCAGCGAGGAGGCGUUACUCGCAGAAGAAGCACCGGCUAACUCCGUGCCAGCAGCCGCGGUAAUAC
rnacentral:rRNA from 1 species